UAAAGUUUUUCUUCAAAAAAAAAAAAAAAAAUUCAUGUUUGCGCUCGAUAAUUCUGGUUGAAAGUUGUUUGGUAUGAUAUUGGCAUUGUAGAUAUACUCUUGACUGACUUGCAUUGUUCCUAUCUUCUAAUAAUUUUGCUUUUGCCAUUUAUCUAAUUUUAUGUGUUGAUUUGGAUCUGGAACAUGAUGCGUAGCGAAUUGUGCUGUAUGUUACACCAGUUUAGCGGUUAGGUUAUGUCUUCUAACUUGCUGCAUAGUUUCAUUUGGCCAAGCAAUGAAUUCUUUAUUUAUUCUAUUUUUCUCAUCAUUACUUUUUUGGUGGUGGGGGUUAAUCAAUAGUUGUCAACUAGUUACUGUUAUUUCCUUAUUCUUAGUGAAGCAAUUCUAUGUUGAUGCUGUAUGUGUAAUGUGGGCAGAUAUGAUGGCCAAAACAUCCUGGUUUAGCACAGGAUUGUUGACCUGUAAGAUUUAUGGUUUCCCUGAUCUGCAGGUUCCCAUGUAUUUUGAAGGCCA
rnacentral:misc_RNA from 1 species